GGCCCGAGGCCGGAAGGGGGCCGCCAGGGGCACCGCGAGAGCCGCUGCCGGUGCAGCGCCCUGUACUGCUGCUUCGCGGGGACGCGGUUCGUGGUGCUCGCUACUGUUUGACGGAUGCGAGUCUCUCUCUCGGAUAGGACAAACAAUGCAGAUACCUUAAGAGAAAGAGAAGUUCUGAGGAGCCAAUGAAGAUGCUCGAAAGAGAAAGGGUCCCUGUUAACCAUGUUCCUGGCCCAGAGACUGUGAAGCCACCUAGCCAGGUGCUGUUGGAGUAGAAAAGAAGGCACACCCUGCCCAAGGAGAUCUUAGUCAGAAAAGGAAAGGAAGCUGCCAUUAGCCCAAGUGGGCUGCUGCCUGACGCCCAGAGAGCCAUGGCUUACAGGAGAGAAGGAAGAGGAAAAUGGUACCUGCCACCUGAACAGCAAAGCACACUUGUCUUGGCAAGGACUCCUUUCAGAAAUUUGAUUUGAAGAUGUGAGCAGUGGAGAUCCUCCUCACCAAGCAAGGCUCUUCAUGGCAAGCCUCUGUGGGGAAACUUGGUCACUGUGUUCAAAGGGGUGAAUUAGCUUGGCCUUUUGUUUUAUAAUCUAGAUCUGUGCAGUCUAAUAUGGUAGUCACUGGCCACAGAUGGCUUAAAUUGAAAUUUAAAUGAAUUGAAAUUAAAUCAAAUUUAAAAUUUACUUCCUCAUUUGUAUUAGCUACAUUUUAAGUGUUCAACACCCAUAUGUGGCUAAUGGCUACCAAAUUCAAAAGCACAGCUACAGAACAUUUCCUUUAUUGCGGAAACUUCCAGUAGAUGGUUCUGGUCUAGAUGAUAAACAGUGAUGACAUUUAGUUGCAAUUGUUCUUUUUCUCAUUUGGGGCACCGAGAGGUAGGAUUCCUCUACUCUCCAGUAGAAUUAUUACAAAGCAGAAAUCAUGCAAAUUUCUCCCAACUGCAGCAAGAAAUGUAUGAAUUUUGUGGAAACUUUCAUGUCUGUACUUUCUUCCCUUGUUAUUUGCAUAAAUUACGUCCUGGGGAUAGAGAGCCCUGGACUUGCAGCAGAAUGCUCUAGGAAUAUCAGUGACAGGGUAUCAACCUCACUUUUUUUGCAGAUGGAGGGUUAUCAUGUGAUAAAUGACCAAGAAGUCUCCUGGCCCAGACUGUAGGAUUUUCCAAGGGUCUCCUUCUACAGUAAGACAAAGGUAGCUGCUGGGGCAGGCUAAUAAUUUCACCCCCCUCCCCCAAAGCAAACAAACCCUAACAGUCUAUAGCAGUUCGACUUGCCUCUUUAUGUUGGUUUUCAAUGCCCAAAGGUGACAUUAACCCAGAAGAGGAAAAAGAGGCUUAUUCUCUCAGGAGACUGAAUCAUCUAGACUCAGGAUCAGAUUUCUGCCUCAGGCUCAAACAACAAAAGUUGAGACAAAAGACUCCCUGACCAAACUCACAUAUAACUGGUGAUCAUGGACUAAAGCUUGCAGGUGAUGCAAUAGGAGAGGUUUGGCACAGGCCAAGGGAAAGAGCCUGGCUUUGGGGUUAGAAGACCUGAGUCUGAAUCCUGCAUCCCUAUUUCUGCAUUACCCUGAGCUAGUUAAUGAACCUUUGUGAGCCUCACUUUUUUCAUCUGUGACACAGAUGAAACAACUGGAGAAUAAGAAUCUCUGGUUCUUGGGGUUGUUGUGAGGAUUAAAGGAGAGAAUUGCACAGAUUGUCUAAGCUCAGGGAAUAUUAGCUAAUGUUACUUAUACAGCAUCAGCCCCAGAUUAUAUCAGGAAAGACCAUGCAUCCAACACACUGGCCAGUCACAUGUGUGGUUUUGUUUCCAUUCCCACCUCAAUCCCCGCUCCUAUGGUCAUACCCUCAACAUUGUCAUUUCACCAAUUGCACUCCCCACAAAAAUGGUACAAUUUCAAAUGUCUCACUCCCUCUCCUCCACACAAUACAUACCUCUGAACAUCUGAUUCCCUGUGAUUCUUGAAUAUCACCGAUAGCUGCAAUCCAUUAUUUCACGAGAAAGUAGAAGCAACCAGAAAAGAACUUCCACAAGCUCCUACCACCACAUCUAUCCACCUUCUGGCAUCUGUGCACAUAGAGUCUAUCUUCUCUCCUGCUAUGAUAGGUGAACUGUUUGCGCUUCUAUCUAAUGUCAGUCUCACCACCUCUGCACUGGAUCCAGCCCCUCUUCCCUACUCUAGAACUUCACUCCUACAAUUGCUCUUCUCUCCUGCAUCAUUAAUUUUUUCCCUUUUCACUGGAUCAUUUCCAUUGCAUCAAAUAUACUAUAAUAUUUCCCAUACAUAGAAAUCCUUCCUAGACCCAUGUCCUCCUUCAACUGCUACCUCUUUUCCCUGCUUUCCUAUAUUGUGUCUUUCAGUGGUGUUUUCUCAUCUCCCUGAAUUCUAAAUGUUGGAGUGUCUCAGAACUCCACUCUUCUUUGUCUACACUCACCCCCAGGGGAUCCACAUAGGUCCAUGACUUUAAACACCUUCCAUAUACUGCCAAAUUUAUGUGCCCUGCCUGGAUCUCUCCCCUGAACCAUAGACUCUUAUAUCUAACUGCCUACUCAGUAUCUCCACUGGGUAUCCAAUAGACAUCUUAAGAUGUUCCAAAAUGAAUGAUUGAUUUUCAGCCCCUAACCCCCAAAUCUACUCCUCCCAUAGAUCUCCUUGACUCAAUAAAUGGAACUCCAUUCUUCCAUAAAUGCAUGCUAAAAAUCUUAGUAUUACCUUGAUCCCUCUUUUUCUCUUACAGACCUCAGCUAGUCCAUCAGAGAGCAAAGGGAGAUCAAGAGUCCUGAGAGGCUAUUUCAUUUAGGCCAGAGAAAAGUCCUGACUCACCAAAGAUUACUCCCCUCUAGUGACCAGAAUUAUUACAUAACCUAGGUGUAGUCACCCUUAAUUCAGCAAAUAUAUUCGGAGCAUUUCCAUGUUCUGGGCAAUAUUCUAGGUACUAGGGAUACAGAAAUGGGCAAAAACAGGUAAAAUUUCAUGGAGCUUACUUUCUGCUGGGGUGAGACAGGAAACUUGUCAGAUGGUUAAAGAAAAAUAUUUUGGGGUAAGGGGACAGAAAUUGCAGGAAGGAUGCUGUUUUAGAUAGGGUGGUCAUAAGAGCUUCUGCAAGAGAUGACAGUGAAGCAUAGACAUUUAAGCAUUGAGUCAUGCAGAUAUCUGGGAAUAAAUUAUUCAAGCAGAAGGGGAAUGUGCAGAGGUCCUGAGGCAAAAACAUUCUUGGGGUAUCCCAGGAGCAGAAUGAAAGCGUGUGUAGCUAGAAUGGAGUCAGUGAGGUGGGCAGUGGUAGGAAAUGAGAUCAGAGAGAGAGCUGGGGUGAGAUCAUGUAGGUCUUACUGCCCAAGAAAGGGAUUUGGGAUUUUAUUCUAACAGGUAGGAAGCCAAUAGAGGGUUUUGCGCAGAGGUACGUCUUGAGCUGACAUAUUUUAAAAGGAUCAGCCUGACAGCUUGGUGAAGAGCGGACUGUAGCUAGGAGAGAGUGGAAACUGGGAGACCAGUCAGGGGGCCGAGUCCAUUAAUCUAGGUGCGGGAAGAUGGUGCCUGAAUUAGAUGGUUCCUGUGGAGGUGGCAGGAAGUACUGGAUUUAGAAUUCAUUUUGAAGCUAGGGCUGACAAGUUUUCCUGAGCACAUGGUAGGGGCACAAUUUAUAUUUGUUGAGUGAAUAGAUACCCAGAGUAUUCUGGGGUGAGGCAGGACUUUCCCUGGCCUGGAUGAAAUAUCCCUGUCAUUCACUGCCCCUUUGUUCUCUUUCCAUGCUGACUUGCAGCCAUCUGAUGACUCAUAAUUUGUUCCACGUCCCUUGACUCUAAGGAGGGGUGUCCUGAACAUUGAACACUAGGAUAUUGUCACUAGAAAAUAUCUACAACUCUAACUUAGUAAAUUGGGAUUCUGGGUUAUUGUAAUUCUCUUGCCAUUUUUCCUCUAUCUGACCAUUUCUCUUUAUGCUGAUAAAGUUGAGCUCCAAAUCUGGAAACUUGAGGCCCAAAUUCUGGGCCCAAAUGGUCCUUUCACACUGUUGGCCCAUUCUGGACCAUUAAUUGGACUCCUUUUUGAGAAAUUUUUCUCAUUUUAAUAAUACAUGCUUCCUAUUACUCUUGAAAUUCAUAUUGUAAAAUUUCUAAUAUGUGGAAUUAAUAUAAUUGGGUAGGAACCCAGUUAUCACUGUCAGAAGAUUUAUAGAGUUCCUCUUUACUUCCAAGUCCUUUUCUUCAAUUCCAAGAGCAGCAAGAAUGCUUACCAGGGCCAGGACAAGUGUGAGGCAAGUGAGCUGCCUAGGGUGCAACAUUUAUGGAAGCAUUCACUCUCAGGGCCGUGGAAGUACAGGGUGGGCACCUGAGAAUGACUGCCUCCUGAACUUUGUGCUCUGGCCACCUUGAUUGCUUCACCCUAGUCCUGGCCCUGCUGCCUGCAGGGAAGCAUUUUGGUUUAUUAACCAGGCAACUGUAGCAUCAAGAGCAGGACCAGUUCCCCACUGUUUGGCCAUGACUGUGCAACAGAAAGCUGCUCUCAGAGAAAGCAAAUGGCAUGGAGAGGAGCCAUGUUCUGGGACGCUCUGCCAAUUUAGAAAUUAAAAGCAGUGGGAAAAUGGUGAUGAAAGUUAUGGAGUUUUGUUUAUAAUAAACUCAACAAGCCACUGGCAUUCCAUUUGUUGAGGGCUACCUGGGUCUGGUAAUCAUAUCUAUAGCAUUUCUAUCUUGUUUGCAAUUCCUCAGAUAUAGCUUUUAAAAAACAUUUGUUCUCCUCCAUAUGCCUUCUUUUUAUAUAUUACAAAAAUUAACAGAACAGAUAAUGGCUGCAGUGUAAAUGCUUUGGACAAUCAGGUAAGAGCUUAUUUUUAAGGUUGGAUUAACAAUUUCCAUUUUAACAAUGCGCUCAAAUUGACUGAGUGAUUCUAAAUUAGCUCUUUAGUUCUUACCCUUAACCACUGAUAAAUGCCACUAUUAAUUUCAGUUAUUUAAAGGCAACAUUAAUAUGUGUGAAACAAGAACAGCGAUAAAGACAGAAAGGAAUAAAUUACUUGCUGCAAGACAGAAUGA